GGCCCGGUAGCUCAGUUGGUAGAGCACCGCACUGAAAAUGCGGGUGUCGCCAGUUCGACUCUGGCCUGGGCCACCA
rnacentral:tRNA from 3 species